GCCCUUCANAGGGGGACAACAGUUGGAAACGACUGCUAAUACCGCAUACGAUCUAACCUUGGCAUCGAGGAUGGAUGAAAGGUGGCCUCUAUUUAUAAGCUAUCACUGAAGGAGGGGAUUGCGUCUGAUUAGCUAGUUGGAGGGGUAACGGCCCACCAAGGCGAUGAUCAGUAGCCGGUCUGAGAGGAUGAACGGCCACAUUGGGACUGAGACACGGCCCAGACUCCUACGGGAGGCAGCAUG
rnacentral:rRNA from 1 species